rnacentral:tRNA from 1 species
CAGGAAAUAGUUUAGUUUAGAAUUCUGGCUUUGGGAGCCAGGGGUGGGAGUUAGAAUCUCUUUUUUCUGG